rnacentral:rRNA from 1 species
CCUACGGGGUGCAGCAGUGAGGAAUAUUGGUCAAUGGCCGGAAGGCUGAACCAGCCAAGCCGCGUGAAGGACGAAGGUGCCCAGCAUUGUAAACUUCUUUUGUCAAGGGACAAAAUCAGGCUCGAGAGCCUGACCGAGGGUACUUGAAGAAAAAGCAUCGGCUAACUCCGUUCCAGCAGCCGCGGUAAUACGGAGGAUGCGAGCGUUAUCCGUAUUUAUUGGGUUUAAAGGGUGCGUAGGCUGACUGUUAAGUCAGCGGUAAAAGCCCGGGGCUCAACCCCGGCGAGCCGUUGAAACUGGCGGUCUUGAGAUGUCGAGAGGUAUGCGGAAUGCGCAGUGUAGCGGUGAAAUGCUUAGAGAUUGCGCAGAACUCCGAUUGCGAAGGCAGCAUACCGGCGGCGAUCUGACGCGGAGGCACGAAAGCGUGGGUAUCGAACAGGAUUAGAUACCCGGGUAGUC